rnacentral:rRNA from 1 species
UACGUAGGGGGCAAGCGUUGUCCGGAAUCAUUGGGCGUAAAGAGCGUGUAGGCGGUUCGAUAAGUCUGCUGUGAAAGUCCAGGGCUCAACCCUGGAAGGCCGGUGGAAACUGUCGAGCUAGAGUCCGGAAGAGGCGAGUGGAACUCCCGGUGUAGCGGUGAAAUGCGCAGAUAUCGGGAAGAACACCAAUGGCGAAGGCAGCUCGCUGGGACGGUACUGACGCUGAGACGCGAAAGCGUGGGGAGCAAACAGG